CCCUCUCAGUAGGACCUUGCCUGAGGGGCAAGGGAGCUGGGGUAUUUAUCCACAGAUUCCCAUCAUUCACUGUGGGAGGACCACUCCUGGGGUGCCUUAAUGCCUCAGCUCUCUCAUUAUUUGACACGUGGGCACGGUGGGCACCAGCAACCAGAGAGGAUCCUCAGAUAGAUUCGGAAAUGAUGGCAUUCGGAAGUUGGGACAACAUGUAUGGAAAUGGUUAGUGGGGAGGGGGGAUGGCUGGGGCACCACCAAAGUCUUCUAUAUGCAUGAUUAAAAAUUCUCAGAACAUAGUAACAUUUCAAUAAACAAUAGCUAUUUAUAAUAGUACACAUCCGUGGUCCCCGGCAAAGUGUGACACAGCUGAUAACCUAGAGGUAGGUCCAGAUAGGCUGUGUGCCAUGGGAGCGCUAGGCACCAACAGCCCUACAGCAGGUGUUUAGUGUCCCCUCUUGUAUAUAUAGGGGAACUGAGGCUCAUGGAGCAUGAGAGCCUUGUUGAGGGUCAUGAGGCCGAUCGUGCCAAUGUUGGUCUCCUGCGAGCUGUGCUGCUGCUCCCACCAGUCCAGGACUGUAAAGAGUUUUCAUCCUGUGUCUGUGUUAAAAUGUGCUCUCUCUGAGCCCCACCAUGACAGCGCAGAAAUUUGUUUCCAUCUGUAAAAUGUCAAGGCUGAAUCUUUUAUGUUCUGCCCUGGGUCUGUGCCCGAUAAUGAACUCCAUCCAAGCCCUGUGGCUGCCUCCAGCCCACGAGACUCUUUGGAACAAAACGAAUAAUUCUCAGUGGCAGGAGAGAGUGAGGGAAUGGUUUCAUCACUCUUUUCCUGCACGACUCAGACCUGAGAGAAAAGAAGAGGGAAUUGGCAGAAAUAGAAGGCGGCAGGGACGCUCUCUCACUUGUUCCCUGCAGUCAUGCCUGUAUGGAAUUUGGGAGUUUGCUGGACCAGGGGGGCUGCUUUGGGUACACUGGGAGCAGAAACCUGGGGUUCCAUCACCUGCCUCAUGGCGGGGCAUCGAGUCUGCUCUCAGCUCUCUUUCCUGAACACCAUUGCCACAUCUGUCUGUGCUGGUGACGAAAGAGAGAGAAGCCUCAACUGUCUCCUUUGUACUGCACUAGGCCAUUCCGCAACUCAAGCAGGAGAAAAACCCAGGAGUGGGGUGGCGUAGGCGGGGCCACCACAAGGAGCCCGUGCAUCAGGGGGCGCAGGCUGUUUCUGGAUCAUUCCACUGGGAAGGGGACAAAACCCAUCUUUUAUGACCCAUGUUCAGUUCUCAGUUGGAGUCAGAUGAGGAAGAGAAUGCCCAGCAAGGUAAAAUGGCAGAGCUAAGAUGCAAACAAACUCAGGUCUGCAAUGCCCAAACCCCUGUUCCUUUCCCUCCUUGUAUCUGAAAACUCUUCUUGGCACCAGGGGAGGUGCAUCUGGGAGUGGCUGUGUCUGCCUGCAUGUUGAUGCUGGUGGCAUGCACGUGUGUGGGCCAGGAGGUGGGUCUGUGACAUCCUGGGUGAAAGGCAGUGGAGCGAGGGCUUCUCUGGCAUUGCUGAUGGCUACCUGAAUCUCCUGUUUCUCUGGGCCGGCUCUCUAGCAGCCAGGUGGGGACGCACAUCUCGAUCUGCCCUCAGGUGCUCUAAACCGAGGUGAAGGUUCACAAAGCCGCCAGAACAGCUGCUUUUUCCUUGCAGAUGCCUAUCUGGAGGGGGUGUCUCUUGGCGACAGGAAUGGCAUUUCCCACAGAGGUGUUGGUGGCGCUUAAAACCCCGUUUAGUCAGGCCACACAGGAAAUCUGCCCAAUGUUUUCUGAGCCUGGGCUGGAAGAGGCCUGCAAGGAAACCACAGGAACACACAAUUUUUGCUCAUAAUGCAAUUCAACAGAGAGUUCUUGAAGGCCUGUGUGGGCACAUCUCUGAGACACCAAGAUGGUAAAAUUCCAGGAUUCUCCCCACACCCAGGGAGGACAACCUAGCUGCCCCACUGUGCACUUUGGAGGCACAGCCCUCAUUAGAUUGCUGUGAGGAUUUGGAAGGUCAAGUUCCUGGCAUCUACAACCCAUGCUAAUUUCUUCUCUUCCUUACUUUAGAGCAUGAUAUUCAUUGCUAACUGACAAAGAAAUCAUUUUUAAAAUGUGAAACAUUUCUUCUUUCUUGUUUACCUCAUUGACUUGAAAAAAAAUCUUUACUCCAUGGCCCUGGUCAUUUGAAUAGAAAAAUGCAAAAAUCAUAAUGAUUUUAUAGAUUAUUAGAGCCACGCAAACAGCCAAUUUAGACAAUCCAGGGCAAAAUACAUUCUGAUAUCUUAAGCAUCCUCUUUUCUUACUUGUACAUGUUUCCCCUUCAAGUCACUCAGAAAAAUGAGAGGACUUGGCCUCUGUUUCAGUCUACCUGCUGGAAAAAUCCUCGAGGGAAGUGUCUUUGUGGUGGAUGUGGUCUGACUUGGCCUGGAAGAUGGGGAGGGAAAGCCUGAACACAAAACUGCAGGCCUGCGAGGGACUGGGGCCUUACCUGCCCCAAUCCCCUUGUUCUGUAGAGGAGGAGACGGAAGCUCAAGCUGCAGCCAAACAGCUCAUGCAUGGCAGGGCAGGUACUGCAAGCAGGUGUCCUGGGGUCCUGUCCCAUGCUAUUACCAGCCUGCUGGUGGCCUCAGCAAAUUCCCUAAUACUGAGGGGCUUCCCUUAUAAUGCACAUACUGGGGAACCAGGACUUUGCACGCAAUGACAGAUGGCAGGGACUUCUGACCUCAUUAGGGAGGGCCGGCAUGACAAAGCCAGCUGUACCUCAGUGGGCCCCAGUGCAGGACACCAGAGACAAGACCACCCAGCCAGAUCUCCUCGAGACUGGCAAGGCCUGGUGGUCAGCAUUGUUGGCCGGAGAGGGAGUUGAAACUUUGAUGGGCACAUUUAAGCUUCAUGUCCUCUGGGCACCCCCCACUCCACCAUUGAUGGGAAUGGCACUGAAGAACACUGUGAGGUCUGCAGUGAAUGCUGCAGGCACCCCAUCCACAUUCCUCUUACAGCUGCUCUGAGUGUAGGCUGCAGACUUCUCCCAGCUGCCUCCCCUUCUAGAGAGCUGGGCCCAGCUAAACGGAAGCUGCCAGGGAGGCUGUGCUGACUCCUCUACCUAGAAUUUGACCCGUGAUUGGUUAAAGUGGAAAUACAAAAGACCAGCCCUUUGUCUCAAGGUGCAGCAACUGUGGUGCACGGCCUGCUCCAGAGGUUCCCCUGGGGUCAGGCUGAAGCCCACAUCAGCUGAGACCACGUGCUUGCUUUGCUACUUCCCCUGCCCCAUUCUGCUUCCCUCACUCCCCUUCUCCUGAAAGCAUGCCCCAAUUCAUCGCUUGGAUGAGACUCUCCAUCUCAGGCUCUGCUUCUAGGGAACCCAGUCUAAGUCACGAUCCAUUCUGGAAGACCUUAACACUUUCCACUGACUGUGAGAGCUGCCGAAUACAUUUUGACCCAUGGGUGGUUCCUGUCCUUGGUGAUUCCCCGACCUCUGGUGAGAUCUUUUCCUCUCUGGCAAGCCUCUGGAUGUUCUGACUUCAGAGGGGUUCUGGCUGCAGCUUUAACUCAGCCAUAUGUUGUGACAGCUCUUGGAGCAGCAUUACACGGGAGCAAUAUCCUUCCUGCUAAUUGGAUCUCAGAAUUCAUUUUCGGACCAAAGACAUCAAAUAAACCCAGGAAAUACGAAGCCGUUUGCAGUUAUGACUUGAGACGAAUUGAGUUGUUCAUCCUCUAAAGUUGUGUUCUGUUCCUUAUCAGCCUCAUCUGAAAUCUCAGACACAAAAGCAGAGAUGUUUCUGCCAGGAGGGGCGGAAAGUUCGGUCUGGUUUUGAUAUGUGUCUGGAGAUGAUAAACUUGGGAAGGGAAAUAUAGCAGAUCCAAUCCUCCCUCCCCCAUCUCCAUUAGGUCUUUGGCCUUGAUAGAUUUCAAUAUCCUGUGCAGCUGAUGUCUGACCCACGCAUCAAGAAUACAGCCUUCACACACCUGCCGUGAGAAGCCCUCUAUGACCUUCUGCAGAGGGAGGGAACUGCCUAAGAGCUGCUGAGUGCAGGAAUGCAGGGUGCUAAGAAGCAGGUACCCAGUUUGGGGUUAAAAUAUGUAUAAUAUAUCCAUUUGAAUACCCAUCAAUAAAUAUCAGUCAUGCUCA